CAAUAAAGUCCUUGGAAAUGAACCACAGCUGCUCCCAUUGAUCUGUUUUUCAAUUUUCUGUUGUUUGCUGGAAGAGCCUGCUUUUACUUUGCCUAAAGUGAGUCGCUUGAGUAAUCAGCAAAUCCACGGAAACUCCUAAGUCAUCGCCUCUCAGGGUGCCUGCUGGAUUCCUGUCCGUUAGCUGGCCCUCAGGCUUGCUGUCCACCCCCAGGCUUGCUGUCCACCAGAAACCCACUUGGAACUGUGCCAAGGAAAGCAAAGGACAGCGAUCAGCCUGUGAGAAACAGAGUAGACGGUGGCCAUCUCUGGCUUCUGAGCAAGAGUGCACGUGAAGCCCUCUCCUGGUGCCGGCUUACAGGUGCAUCUGCUUGAGCUUUUGAUGCAGUUUCUACACACAGCCCU
rnacentral:lncRNA from 1 species